rnacentral:lncRNA from 1 species
UCUGACAAUAGCAAACAUAGGUGUGGUUUACGCUUUCGUGGCAAAUUUGAAUAUUUCUGCUCGAGGCCACAUUUUUACUCGAAGUUCAGAGAGUACACAAUUAGUUAGUGCAACAAAACUUCGCUUUCACAAAACCUUUUCGAAAUAAAGUCGGUAUGCCUUGCAGAGGGAAAGGUCAGUAUUAAAUUUAACUACUUUUUGAACGUUUUUGAGUUGUUCUUGUUAAGAUAUUGCUGUUUUUGAAACACGUGUGUGUAUUCAUUCAAUAAAUAAUAAUAUGUAUUGAAUUCGAUUCCCAUUCAAGCGCUUCGUUACGGCGCUUGGUCGCUUUAUUUCCUUGGUCUUUCUGCCUCAUUUGCUGGCGGCAAUGUUCAGAAAUACCCUAGCUUUGAUUUAUUUAACUCAUAUUUAGUUUAUCUGCAAUUUCAGGGCGAAAAUUUGAAGAGAAAGUGAACUAAUUUAAUCGCCCACAUGGUCGAAAAGGCGAAGUACUUGGUAAGCAUAAUGUCCACUAAAGGCGUUUCCUUCUUGUGUUUUUAUUUAAGCUUCCCUUAUACACCUAGAAUGUCUUGUAGAAAAGCCUUGUAGCUUUAUGAACACACUCUGUCAAAUUUAGGUAAACUUUUGUUGAAAAUUUUGUCCGUACAGAGCGAAAUGCAGACUCGUUUUAGGCAUGUUCAAUUCGACAUGCAUUUCAAACAUUUUAGCUCAUACAAACUUGUCGUUUAUGUACAAAUUGUACUCUGAGAGGGAAGGCUAAGCUUUUUGAGUUUUUUUGAGCUUGUCUAAGUUGAAUUUUAAUCCAAAUCUUUUGAAGCGGUUAAGAGACGAAAUGUCCUCGUGGUUCAUGCCAUAAUUUUAUGCAUACAUGCAUGCACGCAUUCUUUAAAAUAAAUUGAAUUGGACAACCGCACCCUGUGUAAACGAUAUUAAAUAACUCUUCGCUGUUUUGAAACUAAAAAUUCAUUAUCCAACUUUUUUAGAUUGCCUCAAGUUCGAUCAUUCUGACGGCAAACAGUACAGAAAGACCUCUGCCCAGAUUUGAAGAGACGCUCGCCUGGCAGUCGAAGCAAGACGGGAAGGCAAAGGCCAAAUGAAGCCCACCACCAAAGCUUGCUCACAGCAUUCAUCGUCGCAUUUCGUUUGUACCAAGUCUGGAAGAGACAAUAACCGAGGCAUAUAAUACCAUACUUUGUCUGUGCCAGCAUUGGUAGCGACAAUAACACGGAGAAAGUUGCAGAUUGAGACGGAUUAAAAAAACUUUGAAUACCAUAGUCUGGCAGUACGUGAUGGAUUAGCAGAUACACCCAUCCUCGUACAAUUUCAUUCAAUCACAGUUAAUAGAUUCAAUCAGCCAAUUGUGAAUGAGAUGCACAGACCUGCCAAGCGACAGUCGACGCCGUACCAUCCAGAGACCCUAACCAAUACGCCAUACCAUCGUGGAAGAUGUUCUACAUUACAGAAGGUAUAUUUUCCUCGUGAUUCUCAUUGUGCGUGUUCGAAAGUACGUGGGGACGCCACCCUGAAGACGCCCAAAUGCACAAAAUAAAUUUAAAUAUGGCACAUUUUUCUUAAUUUCGCAAUUUAUUCAAAUUUUCUACAUUUCUUGGUAUUUGUGAAAAGCUCUUAACGAAAUCAAAAUGUUUGAAAUUCGGAAGUUUCGAUCUGGGAGUUUGUUUAUUUGAAAGAUAUUUGAAAUGAAAUUUCGAAGUUUACAUCACUUUGAUAUUUGGGUUAAACGCUAGGUAAAAUCAUGCCAGAUGAGUGGUCGACCAUUCGUCGAAGUUCGGUGAUACUUCGGCUCGGAUUUUCCCGACCUAUAGUUGAGUUGCUCUGAUCGAUUGUCGUGAUCAACUAGCGCAAAUGUAAGGUCUGGCCAACCUUGCGUUUGUGCUUUUUGUUCGUGGCAUGAGAUUGGGACAGCUCGCCUAUAGGCCUGGAAAGAUCAAGCCAAAGUACCACCAAACUUUGAUUUGUGGUCGGCUUUUUGUCUGUAUGGCUUUAUCCAGUGUUUUCCCGUUAUCACUUUGAUGUAGACUUUGGGAUUUUGGCUUGAAUAUCUUUAAUAUAAACAUUCUUUGAGGUUUAAUCUUUCACGAAUUUCAUGGGUUUUGACUAGUUAAUGUGUUUUUCGUAGAUACUAUAAUUGUAUUAAAAAUAUUGACAAAAAAAAUUAAAAACUGACCAAAACGUCAUUUGAGGUGUCGGAUGGGAGGGUCCAGUGGGAGUCGUAGCGGAUACCAAUGGAUAAAUACGGAUUACUGUGACACUGUGUACUAUUGAAGAUAUUGUGAACAUUUAUGGAUAAUUGUGAACGUUAAUGGAUUACAACGAACAAUUAUGGAUUAUGAACAUUUGUGGAUAAAAUGUGCCUCGCGAUCGACGGUUACCUACCAAUGUACCUUGAUGACGAAAGCUGCACGACAGCAACGAGAUGACUGCCUCAAGGUUAGAGGGUUUAGUCUGAAAACAAGCAGUAGUUAGUUUGUUAUCAGACAGUAGUUAGCCUGCUAUCAGGCAGUAGUUAGCCUGCUAACAGGCAGUAUAUCUGUAGGAUUCAUACCCAAGACUCUAAUUUGCAUGUUGUCGGUGAAGUCUCUGGGUUAAUCGGUUUAAAAUUCCUGGCGGUCUGUGGUUAGUAGUACAUUUGCACGCAAGGUUGAUUUUUUAUUCGGAUGUUUGCAUGCUAAUAAAAAAUGAGAUGUUGACCUCAGUUAAUCAGAAUUUCGACAUCAUCUGAAUCGAAAGUCAAUCUUAAGAGGUUAACAUUUGAGCUUCCGGUCACGUGGUUCUUUGCAUGCACUCGGUUCGGUUACUGGUGGGUUUCAGUAAGUGUUACAAUCCAGACGAUGGAGAAAUUUAUUUGUUUCAAGUACUUCCUGGAGCAAUUUAUUUGCUUCAAAUACAAGACUACUACAUAAAGUGAAAAGGAGUGAACAUUAUUUUUUCACUCCAGUAACUCGUAGUGAGACCCACUAGCUAUUUACAGUCUGUUCGUGCCAAUGUUGUUCUCUUUGUGUAAAUGUACUGCUUAGGUGUCUCCGUGUCUGUGCAUGAACGCAACGCGCAACUAGUAUCCAGAGUAUAGGCAAACAAGUAAAACUUUGACAGACUUUAAAAUCUUGUUUAUAUCGAUGUGUUAUGUUCAUAAAUGUAUAGAAAUAUCAUGAAAUGUGCUAGGCUUUGGCUUGGGGUUAAAUCUAACCCUAGAACCUUAACCUUAAUCCAUUACAUGAUCUGUAUAUUUGUGUACGUAAUAUAUGGGUGUGGCCAAAGUUUUGUUGAAAAGCUGGCAUAGUUUUCCUUCGGUAGGAUAACUAAACUGGGUGCAAAUGGUAUCCAUAGCUUAGAGGGUGCAAAUGGUACCCGUAAGAAGAUUGGUGGAUAUUUCUGGACAUGAUUUUUUGAAAGAUGUGGAUUCUCUCCGGGUAAUCCGGUUUCCACCUACAGAAAGAUCAGCUUAGGACUGUAACGACAUAAGUAUUGUAAAUCUAAAUAGUCUAGGCUUUACUGAAUAAUAAAGUUAAUUGCGUGGUUUCAUCGCCCGUAGUGCAUGUAUUAUAUCGCUGGUUUCGAACGUUAGUUUUCUGCCCCGAGUUAUAUGAAAACAGUUCGCUACCAGAGAUUAGGUUCCCUCUCUGUCAUGGCGGCUCGACGAUGGAAGACAUUACCAUAAGGCAUGCAAACCUUACCCCUGUUUGUGGAAGCUCAUCAGGUGCAACCGGCACACUAGGUUAAGUUAAGUUAAGCUAGGGGCAUGACCGAGACUCCACAUUCGGGGGUUUCCCUUGCAGGUUUUUGAACGGGUAUAUGCGCGCGCGCACUAGUUAGGAAGGUUAGGCAGCUAGAAAUAGGGCGCUUUGCGGCAUGUAUACUAUAAGGCAUGUUUACUAUAAUUCAUUAUCAUCAUACUUUUGCGCCAGUAACAUUCUGAGAAGUAUUUAACACAGCAGGAAAAUGGAAUCUGUUUUCCUGUUGAAAAAUACUUACAGAAUCAAUUCAAAGUGGAAAAAAGAAAAUAUUGCGAAAAAGAGAAAUAAAAAGAUAUUGCGAAAAAGAGAAAUAAAAAAGAAAACCGCGAAACCACUUUGAAUAUAAGCAACAAUAGUCCAAGAAUACUUGUUGCAGAAAAAAACACAACAAAAAAGAAACAAUUUUCUGCCAAGAUAUCUUGGAUUAGGAGCUUAACGAUAAGAAACGCAGUUCACGCUCCAAAGUGGAGAAUAGGCUCGUUUCUUUAGGUUGCUAAUGCAUUGCGCGCGCGCUUUAUAAAUUGUACUAUAAGUUUUCAGCCGAAAAGACCGCCAGGAAAAAUAGAGUGUUUUCACGUGUUGCUUUGUUGACGGACAAGUAUUUUACAAUAAUGGUUUUCUUGUUAACUUGUAUUUCGGCACUUUAACUUGUUCCCAAACAUAGCCGCCGUGAAAACACUCUGCAGAUCAAGUUUAUAUAUGGUCAGCGACAUAGAAUGUUUGCCAUGUUGCAUUCCGUGUUGUCUUACAUUCAUACAUAAGCUUGGUCGAACCAUGGAUCAUAAAAAACACCAUGGUCGUGCGCAGCUAAUUAACAUACGCGGCGCGCGCGCGUGCUGCUGUAAUGCGGAGUACAUUCAGGGAGUGUACUCCAUGUGCAAAUAGUGACGUUGUGCUCUAUAUAGUCUUGACUUGAAAAAUAAAUUAAGGUGCAUGUUCAUUAGAAUUAAGUGCGCAAAGUUUCAUGCAAAUAAAAUUAAACGCGCUCAGAUGCAUGCUUAGUGGUACAAUUAAGGGCAUGAAAACCAGUGCAUGCUAACUUAAAUUGAGUGCGCGCGUUGCAAUUUUCUUGCGUGCGAUAAAGCAAAAUGCGGCAAAAAUCUAAAAUAUAGAAAUGCACACAUCACAUCUUUAAAAUGCAUCCAAGUGUCCUAAUAGCUUUUACAAACUAUUGCCAAAUAUAUUGGGCCAUUGGAUUCAUUUGCCACGCACCUUGUCCUGAACAUAUCUGAAAUAUUUUCAAGUUUCAAGGUUAAGAUAAAUAUACCCUUACAUGGAACAAUUUGUUAAUAAAAAGAGGCAUAUUUGUCUUGCGCAAUCUGUAGACUUGAAUUUUUGGGUGGUCUACAAUUUUUUUUGACAUAUCGUGAGAUUUGUUUUAUUUUGAUUUUUUUUGCAAGAUUUUUACUUUUCUGGAUUUUGGUAGGUAUUGGUAGGUAUUGUAUAUAUUAUAUGUUAAUUCGGUCACACAGGGUUGCCCCCGGGGUUUUCGGAAUCCGGACUCGUAAUCACCAAGGUUUUUCACCAGAUCCUCUGGUUUUCCUCGGGUGAUUACGUAUUUUUUCGUUUGGC